rnacentral:rRNA from 1 species
GUGCCAGCCGCCGCGGUAAUACGGAGGGUGCAAGCGUUGUCCGGAAUCACUGGGCGUAAAGGGUGCGCAGGCGGGGCAGCAAGUCGGAGGUGAAAUCCCACGACUCAACCGUGGAAGUGCCUUCGAAACUGCUGCUCUUGAGUCCCGGAGAGGCUGCCGGAAUUCGUGGUGUAGCGGUGAAAUGCGUAGAUAUCACGAGGAACACCAGAGGCGAGAGCGGGCAGCUGGACGGGUACUGACGCUCAGGCACGAAAGCCAGGGUCUCGAACCGGAUUAGAAACCCCAGUAGUCC